AGCGAACGCUGGCGGCAGGCCUAACACAUGCAAGUCGAACGAAGUCUUCGGACUUAGUGGCGGACGGGUGAGUAACACGUGGGAACGUGCCUUUAGGUUCGGAAUAACUCAGGGAAACUUGUGCUAAUACCGAAUGUGCCCUUCGGGGGACAGAUUUAUCGCCUUUAGAGCGGCCCGCGUCUGAUUAGCUAGUUGGUGAGGUAAAGGCUCACAAAGGCGACGAUCAGUAGCUGGUCUGAGAGGAUGAUCGGCCACAUUGGGACUGAGACACGGCCCAAACUCCUACGGGAGGCAGCAGUGGGGAAUCUUGCGCAAUGGGCGAAAGCCUGACGCAGCCAUGCCGCGUGAAUGAUGAAGGUCUUAGGAUUGUAAAAUUCUUUCACCGGGGACGAUAAUGACGGUACCCGGAGAAGAAGCCCCGGCUAACUUCGUGCCAGCCGCCGCGGUAAUAC
rnacentral:rRNA from 1 species